CAGAGGGUGCAAGCGUUGUUCGGAAUUACUGGGCGUAAAGCGCGCGCAGGCGGAUCCUGCAAGUCAGAAGUGAAAUCUCACUGCUCAACGGUGAGGCUGCUUUUGAUACUGCGGAUCUGGAGACCGGUAGAGGCUGGUAGAAUUGCAGGUGUAGCGGUGGAAUGCGUAGAGGUCUGCAAGAAUACCCGUGGCGAAGGCGGCCAGCUGGGCCGGUUCUGACGCUGAGGCGCGAAAGCGUGGGGAGCAAACAGGAUUAGAUACCCUGGUAGUCCACGCCGUAAACGAUGGGCACUAGGUGCUGGGGGGAGCGACCCCGUCAGUGCCGCAGCUAACGCGAUAAGUGCCCCGCCUGGGGAGUACGGCCGCAAGGCUG
rnacentral:rRNA from 1 species